GUUUAAAUAGUUUAAUAAAAAUAUUGAUUUGUGGUGUCAAAGAUAUGGAAUAUUCAUUUUAGACC
rnacentral:tRNA from 1 species